GGAUGAACGCUAGCGGCAGGCUUAACCCAUGCAAGUCGAGGGGCAGCGCGGGAUAGCAAUAUCCUGGCGGCGACCGGCGGAAGGGUGCGUAACGCGUGAGCGACAUGCCCGUUGCCCGGGGACAACCGGUGGAAACGCCGACUAAUCCCCGAUGGGAUACGAUGCUUCAUGGCAUUGUAUUGAAAGUUACGGCGGCGACGGAUUGGCUCGCGUCCGAUUAGCUGGUUGGCGGGGUAACGGCCCACCAAGGCUGCGAUCGGUAGGGGUUCUGAGAGGAAGGCCCCCCACAAUGGGACUGAGACACGGCCCAUACUCCUACGGGAGGCAGCAGUGAGGAAUAUUGGUCAAUGGGCGGAAGCCUGAACCAGCCAUGCCGCGUGCGGGAAGGAGGCCCUAUGGGCUGUGAACCGCUUUUGCCUGGGGGCAAUAAGGGCGUCGCGCACGUCCGAUGAGAGUACCAGGCGAAUAAGCAUCGGCUAACUCCGUG
rnacentral:rRNA from 1 species